GAUGAACGCUGGCGGCGUGCUUAACACAUGCAAGUCGAGCGAAGCACUUUGGAAAGAUUCUUCGGAUGAUUUCCUUUGUGACUGAGCGGCGGACGGGUGAGUAACGCGUGGGUAACCUGCCUCAUACAGGGGGAGAACAGAUAGAAAUGACUGCUAAUACCGCAUAAGACCACGGUACCGCAUGGUACAGUGGUAAAAACUCCGGUGGUAUGAGAUGGACCCGCGUCUGAUUAGGUAGUUGGUGGGGUAACGGCCUACCAAGGCGACGAUCAGUAGCCGAGCUGAGAGGGUGACCGGACACUCUGGGACUGAGACACAGUCCAGACUCCUACGGGAUGCAGCAGUGGGGAAUAUUGCACAAUGGAGGAAACUAUGAUGCAGCGACGCCGCGUGAAGGAUGAAGUAUUUCGGUAUGUAAACUUCUAUCAGCAGGGAAGAAAAUGACGGUACCUGAAGAAGAAGCCCCGGCUAACUACGUG
rnacentral:rRNA from 1 species